AGGAUGAACGCUGGCGGCGUGCCUAACACAUGCAAGUCGAACGUCCUGUCUCGCAAGAGGCAGGGAGUGGCGGACGGGUGAGUACCACGUGGGUCAUCUACCGUGAGGUGAGGAAUACCGGCGAGAAAUCGCCGACAAGACCGCAUAGGCUCGAUGCAAGUCGAGCAAAGCUCUUUCGAGAGAGGGAGCGCCACACGAGGAGCCUGCGCCCGAUUAGCUAGCUGGUGGAGUAACGGUUCACCAGGGCGACGAUCGGUAGCUGGUCUGAGAGGACGAUCAGCCACACUGGGAUUGAGAACGGCCCAGACUCCUACGGGGGGCAGCAGUGAGGAAUUUCGUCAAUGGGGGCAACCCUGAACGAGCAACGCCGCGUGCAGGAAGAAGGUUUCGGAUCGUAAACUGCUUUUCUCGGGGAAGAGAACGGACGGUACCCGAGGAAUCAGCCCGGCUAACUACGCGCCAGCAGCCGCGGU
rnacentral:rRNA from 1 species